GGAUAAAGGUCUUAGAUUAUAGUUGCAGUAGGCUAUUUAAAAGAUACAGGAUUAUAUAAAAGAAAGAAUAUAGAGUAGAUAGAUCCUGACUCAGACUCCUAAUCAGUAGGUGGCGGUAAUGAAGCCAAAAGUUGUUUGCCAACCGCCAUUAAAACUCAAGAAGAAGAUGAAGAGACGGACUGACAGCAGCGAGCAGAGCAGGAAAUAAAUCCACAUACACGUGCAUUGAUGCGAUGGAAGUAAAGGAGGAAACACGGGUACAGAAUGAAGUGGAGGAGCCUCAUGAUGUCAUCACUAAAGAUAAAUCUUCUGAUUGUUUACAAACAUCAACUAAAAAAAGAGAAACCAAAAGUUAUGUUUCCCAUCUAUGUGGUGACGGUUGCACAAUACCUGGACACCAUAGUGAUGAUAUCAACUUCACCAAUAAAGGGAGACGUUACACAUGCCAGCAGUGUGGAAAGAGUUUUACACGAAGAAAAACCCUUAUAGCUCAUGUUAGGAUUCACACUGGAGAGAAACCUUUCAUCUGCCCUCAAUGUGAAAAGCGUUUUACGCAGAGAGAUCAUCUUAAGAUCCACAUAACACAUCACACUGGAGAGAGACCUUUCAGUUGCUCUCAGUGUGAAAGGACUUUUAGACGUAAAGAGAGCCUCAUGUCUCAUGUAAGAACUCACACUGGAGAGAAACCUUACACCUGUCCUCAAUGUGGAAAGAGUUUUAAAGAGAGAAGACAGCUUAAGAGUCACAUAACACAUCAUACUGCAUAGAAACCUUUCACUUGCUUUCAGUGUGGAAAAGGUUUUUUACGAAAAUCACUUCUGGAAGAACACUUGAGAAUUUAUUUGGGAUAAAAACUUUUCAUUUGCCAUGUGGAAAGAGUUUCACAAAAGCAUAGUGCUGCACAAUUAAUCGCAUCGCAAUCGCGAUGUCAGCCUGUGCAAUUAUAUGACAGCAAAAUAUUGCAAUUAUAUUAAAUAAAUAACUGUGUGGACUUGUUAACACAAACUUUCUGAUAACAGUUUGAUGAUUUUCCUUGCUGUUUAAAAAAAGAAAGAAAAACAAACAAAAAUGGCAGUGCAUUUGUGGCAUGCACGUGUGUGGUGUGCGUCGUCACUUGUUUGUGCGCAGCGCAGAAAUACCAGAGCGAAGAUGGAUGCAGAGGAGGUUGACAGUGAGCUGGUAGCUAAAAAAAAUUAUUUUUGGAUUGGUAUUUUGGAUUUAGGAUUACUGACACUGAGCAGUUGCUACAUCACGUGGCAAUAGAAAACAUUUCUAGUUUUACAAAUACACAUUUUAGCAUUAUCACUAAACUGUGUGUGGAUUUUCCUUAAAACCCAUCAAGUUGACUCAUGAUACCAUUUAUUAUAAUCGCAAUCGCACAUCGCAAUAUUAACAUCAAUAACCGUGCAGCCCUACAAAAGCAUCAAUAUCACUCUGAAGAAAGACCAUUGAUGGAAAGCUUUCCAUUGAUAUAUGCUUUGUCAGGAUUGGACAAUAUUUUGCAGAGAUACAACUAUUUAAAAAUAGAAUAAAAAAAACUAAAUAUUGAGAUCAUAUUUAAAGUUCAAAGUCCAAAUGAAGUCCUGCAUAUUACUAAUGAAAAGCUUUGUUUUAGCGCUCUCUACAGGCUUACUGCCUUAAAUGACCUCAUGGACUGAAUUGGGAAAGUUGUAAGUUUUUACAUAAAAACUUGAAUGUGAAGUUUGUAAGCGAGUUUCAGGCCAAUUUUGUUUAUUUUUGUGAGCAGAUAAAGUAAAAUCACAAAGUCUUGAUAUUUUUAUGGUAGAAAAUUUACGAAAUAUUUUUAUGAAAUAUGAUCUUCACAAAAUAUAUAAAAUCGAUCAUUUUGACCCAUGCAAUGUAUUUUUGCCUAUUUCUACAAAUGAAGAGUUUCGAUGCAAAACGAGAUAAAUCCAUUUUUUUACAUUUUUGUCAAAACAUGUUUAUUAUUAUGUUAUCAUGUUAUUAUUUUGUUUUAUAAUUCUACUUAGCUGUAUUUUUUAAGUUAUGAAGGUUUAAAUCAAAACAAACCAACUGCAGUUGCAUUGAAAUUAAUUGGAAUGCACAACCAAAAAACAAGAUUUCUGAACCAUUAAAAAAACGGUGGUUAUCUCAUUUUGCAACGAAACUCUUCAAAUAUACCCGUGUGACUUACAACUGGUUUUGUGGUUAAGGGUCACAUACAGUUUGUGCCCUCAUGUGGAAAACAAUUGAUGUCAACUGAAGCUCUGAAAGAAUCCAGACUGGAGGAAAAAACCAUACAUGUGUUCACACUGUGAAAAGAGAUUCACUCAAUUACAAAAACUGAAAGACACAUGAGCGAGUUCAUACUGGAGAGAAACUGUUUAUAAAAGGCCUGUUGGAGAAAGCGUUCAUAAACCUCAGAUUCCUCUUUCCUAAUUUUCUUAUCUUUAUGCAGUCCCAGAUGUACGUGACUUCCUUUCUUGAUCUGAACACAAGCAAAGACUUUUAUAACAAUGUACGCCGUCAUUAUAUGGGACAUUAAAGCUUCAUACACAAAAGCAUUCAUUUUAAAACCAAAUCAAACCUCAAUAAAGUUCAUAUCUGCUGAAGAGAAACAAUAAACUCAAGAAAACAUUUUAGAUUUUAAA